rnacentral:rRNA from 1 species
UACGAAGGGGGCUAGCGUUGCUCGGAAUUACUGGGCGUAAAGCGCACGUAGGUGGCUUUGUAAGUUAGAGGUGAAAGCCCGGGGCUCAACUCCGGAAUUGCCUUUAAGACUGCAUCGCUAGAAUUGUGGAGAGGUAAGUGGAAUUCCCGGUGUAGUGGUGAUAUGCGUAGAUAUCGGGAGGAACACCUGUGGCGAAGGCGGCUUUCUGGGCCUUACCUGACG